rnacentral:snRNA from 1 species
AUCAUUUCUUGGUCUUUUGGUUAAAAUCAAGUGUAGUAUCUGUUCGUAUCAGCUUAGUAUCUGAUGCCCUCUAUCUGAGAACAAUAUAUUGAACACAUUUCUGGAGCUAGGAGAUAGAAAGAGUAAUUGGACUAAGAACUAAUUUCUAAAAGCAG